rnacentral:tRNA from 1 species
CCUUGUGUAGCUCAAUGGAAGAGCCCCUCGCUGUGACCGAGGUUAUCGCGGUUCAACUCCGCGCAUAGGGAC